rnacentral:rRNA from 1 species
UGGGGAAUAUUGCACAAUGGGAGCAAGCCUGAUGCAGCCAUGCCGCGUGUAUGAAGAAGGCCUUCGGGUUGUAAAGUACUUUCAGCGGGGAGGAAGGCGAUAAGGUUAAUAACCUUGUCGAUUGACGUUAACCGCAGAAGAAGCACCGGCUAACUCCGUGCCAGCAGCCGCGGUAAUACGGAGGGUGCAAGCGGGAAUCGGAAUUACUGGGCGUAAAGCGCACGCAGGCGGUCUGUCAAGUCGGAUGUGAAAUCCCCGGGCUCAACCUGGGAACUGCAUUCGAAACUGGCAGGCUAGAGUCUUGUAGAGGGGGGUAGAAUUCCAGGUGUAGCGGUGAAAUGCGUAGAGAUCUGGAGGAAUACCGGUGGCGAAGGCGGCCCCCUGGACAAAGACUGACGCUCAGGUGCGAAAGCGUGGGGAGCAAACA